rnacentral:rRNA from 1 species
CCUGAUCCAGCCAUGCCGCGUGAGUGAAGAAGGCCUUCGGGUUGCAAAGCUCUUUCGGCGGGGACGAAACGGUCCGUGACAACACCACGGACUAAUGACGGUACUCGCAGAAGAAGCACCGGCUAACUACGUGCCAGCAGCCGCGGUAAUACGUAGGGUGCGGGCGUUAAUCGGAAUUACUGGGCGUAAAGCGUGCGCAGGCGGCUCCUUAAGUCAGAUGUGAAAUCCCCGGGCUUAACCUGGGAACUGCGUUUGAAACUGAGGGGCUUGAGUGUGGAAGAGGGGGGUGGAAUUCCAGGUGUAGCAGUGAAAAUGCGUAGAGAUCUGGAGGAACACCGAUGGCGAAGGCAGCCCCCUGGGCUAACACUGACGCUCAUGCACGAAAGCGUGGGGAGCAAACAGGAUUAGAUACCCUGGUAGUCCACGCCCUAAACGAUGUCAACUGGUUGUCGGGGAAGCAAUUCCUUGGUAACGAAGCUAACGCGUGAAGUUGACCGCCUGGGGAGUACGGCCGCAAGGUUA